UACGAACCGUGCAAACGUUGUUCGGAAUCACUGGGCUUAAAGGGCGCGUAGGCGGGCAAGCAAGUCGAAGGUGAAAUCCCACGGCUCAACCGUGGAAGUGCCCCCGAUACUGCUUGUCUUGAGGGAGAUAGGGGCGUGCGGAACUUCCGGUGGAGCGGUGAAAUGCGUAGAUAUCGGAAGGAACACCGGUGGCGAAAGCGGCGCGCUGGAUCUCUUCUGACGCUGAGGCGCGAAAGCCAGGGGAGCAAACGGG
rnacentral:rRNA from 1 species